UACGUAGGGGGCGAGCGUUGUCCGGAUUUACUGGGCGUAAAGCGUGCGUAGGUGGUUCGUUAAGUCUGAUGUGAAGCCCUGGGCUCAACCUGGGAAUGGCAUUGGAAACUGGCGACCUAGAGUGCGGUAGAGGUAGUGGAAUUCCCGGUGUAGCAGUGAAAUGCGUAGAGAGUCGGGAGGAACAUCCGUGGCGAAGGCGACUACCUGGACCAGCACUGACACUGAGGCACGGAAA
rnacentral:rRNA from 1 species